rnacentral:rRNA from 1 species
UACGUAGGGUGCGAGCGUUGUCCGGAAUUAUUGGGCGUAAAGAGCUCGUAGGCGGUGUGUCACGUCGGCCGUGAAAGCCUGCAGCUUAACUGUGGGCGUGCGGUCGAUACGGGCAUCACUGGAGUUCGGCAGGGGAGACUGGAAUUCCUGGUGUAGCGGUGAAAUGCGCAGAUAUCAGGAGGAACACCGGUGGCGAAGGCGGGUCUCUGGGCCGAUACUGACGCUGAGGAGCGAAAGCGUGGGGGAGCAAACAGG